rnacentral:misc_RNA from 1 species
CUAUCCAUCAUCCACUACCACUUGCCCAUCUGCUCUGUCCUUCGACUGUGUGCUCUCCUGUCACCAUGCGGGUGUUCCGCGAGGCCAUCGAGAAGAACGGUGGGCCGCUGCCGCUCUUGUAUUACUUGCAGCCCGAUGCUGGUAAUACGCCGGACCCUGGGUCGGCGCACUACCGCGACAAGUCGAUCGACCUCCUCAACACACGCGUUGACCGGCGCACCUUCUUCGAGUGCGUCCUGAGUGAUGCGGACUUCGCGAUUCUGACAACGUUCCUGAUGAGUGGCGUGUCGGUCAACGCAACCCGGGACGAAGAUGGUGCGUCGGCGCUACACGUUGCCGCGGCAGGUACGCUGGAGGUGCUGAACGAUAGCGACUCUCAGGGUGGCGGCGGCAGCGGCCAGAUGGCCAGCGGUGAAGGUGCCGGAGGUGGCAACAUGCGUGGAUUUCACGCUGCGACUCGCGAGAAGGAUGAGCUUGCCGAUGACGGUGACGAGAGCAGCGUUAGCACCAGUAGUAUCUUGAACCCGCCGUGCAAGAACCAGCUCAUUAUUUCGUUCCUCAUCGACAACGGGGCCGAUGUGAACGCGGCCAUGCGCGGUGGCCAAGGGCAGACGCCGCUAAUGAUGGCAGCCUCUCGGCAGAACAUGCGGGUGGUAAAGCUGCUGCUGGCGAAGGGCGCCGACCUGAGCGUGCAGGAUGCGCAAGGGCGUACGGUGCUGAGCUACGCCGUCGCCUACCCUCACGUGAUGGAGGUGCUGCGGCUGUGGAUGGGCGAGGAGGCCUUCUACGCGGCGGCGGUGCGGGAGCGGCUUCUGCACACGGCGUGCCGCUCCCUCGGCAACGCCUACGCGGCGCUCUACCUCAUUGAGCAGAUCGGCCUGGACGUGAACAUGAGCGAUGACGUCGAUGUGGCGGCUGCCGCAGCAUCGCCAGCGCCGGUGCUGCCUGGUCAAGUGUUGCCUGUUGACCCGAGGAACCCUCGGCGGGACUGCAUCCAAAACCGCUCCUGCGCACCCGGGACCGCGGCGAUGUUCUUCGCUGCUGAUGCGUCGGACGGCAGGCACAGCGCAUGGAGCCUCGCGCAAUCUUCUGCGAAUGCGGCGCCGCCGACCACGAACGCCACGACAACGGCGGCAGCUGGAAACCUCGCGCACCCCCCCUGUGCCGGCGUCGGCAGUUUAGGUGCUGCCGCGGUCGAAGUCGUCCACAUGGGCACUUUGCACAGCGGCGACACGCCACUGCACUGCGCGGUGAGCGCCGUCGACGUGGCCCUCGUGCGAGCGCUACUCAGCAAGGGUGCCGACGUGCACGCGGCCAACCACAGCGGUGUCACACCGCUGCAGCUUGCCCGGUCGCCAUCGUCGCUUGCCCAGUCGUGGAAGCAGUACUGGAAAGAUGAGCUUAUGGUGAUGCUGCGGCCCACGUCCGCCAGCGCCGCCGCUGCCCGGCGCCGGCAUCGUGAGCUGCAGCGCGACAAUAGCCCGGGCAAGGUGCGCGCGCUGCUGACGGCCUACAGUCACGCCAACACCACGCAAUCACGUGAGAAAGUGGUGCGCGAGGAGCCAGCGCUGUACCUGUGGAAGCUCUACGCUCCCAUGGACGUGGUGCUGCUCGUCGCAACGGCAACGCUGCCGCACGUCUUCUUUUACAUCUGCUGUUGCGUCAUUCGCAACUUUUUCGUGCUGUUGUGUCUGCUGCCGCUCAUAUACGGCGCCUACGUCGGGGUGCAGCGCCUCGACAGACGCCGCGCUCAAAGCCGCCCCCUUACGGACUUGGGCUGGUGUGUUGGGUUUGUCCUCGCGCAAGGGCUGUGCCUGCCGCUCUGCACCACGUAUUACUAUUACCAGUACUACAGCUUUAACUUGGAGGAUCACACAGCGUUUAGCUGGUGGCUUGUCCCGGCCGUCACGGCGACGGGGGUGCUAGCGGCCUACGUGGUUCUCUCCUCUCCGGGACUUGUGACGAGCACCGAAGGGCAGCGCAAAGGCAUCUACGCUAGUCUGCGAAACGUCCAGGGCGAGUACGAGAGAGAACUGCUGUACAGUAUUGAUCUGCGCACCAUGGUCAAGAAACCGCUGCGCGCGCAGUACUGUCCGCAGCUUCGGCGGGUCGUCCUCCGCUACGACCACUUUUGUGGCUACCUGAACACCGCCAUCGGCGGCGGCAACCAUCGCGCGUUCUUGUGGCUGCAGGUCGCGCUGCUGUCCAUGCUGUGCUGUUUCUACUACUACGCAUGCGAGUACAGGCGUCUCAUGAACAGUGUCGUGGGCUUGGCUCGCACAUCGGCGGCGGCGGGUCGCGCGCCGGGGCACAGCACGACCCGCGUGGCAGCCGCGAUGGAAGUGGAUCGUGUCAUUAUGGAGAAAUUCGAAACGGCGCUGCUCGCGACGGCCUGGCGCCGCCUCGUCUAUACGUACUCCCAGGUGAUCCUGCCCUUGAUGAUUCUGAUGGUCGUGUAUGCCCUCUGCACCCAGCUACACGCUAUAGCCCGUAACUUGACCUUCUACGACGUCGAACACAGCGAGGACGAGAGCAGCCUGUACUGCUUCACGCUGGGCAGCAGGGUCUACAGCUUGUUCGACAACGGCAUAUGGGCCAACCUCCGCGAGUUCUUCGGCUGGUCCUCACUCACGCAGAAAGUGUACCGGGUUCCGCAGAUCAACCCCUACCUGCAGCAAGUCGUCAAGGACCAUCAACGAUGGCAGUUGACCGGCGGCGACGCCUGCUGUGAUAACAGCGAUCGUCAGCAUCAGUCCUGCACGCACGCAAGCGGCGCUGUCUGCAAAUCCGGUGCAGCAGCAGCAGGCACCACCACCACGGCGGGUACAAUUGCAAGGCCCGCUGAGUUGGGGGAGGGCGAGUCCACCCGAGCUCAGCAGAUGCUGAGGGCGCCACACCAUGAAGCACUCGCCGCGGCGGCAGCAUCCGCCAAUGUCGGGGGGCUUCCCCAGGGACGUGAGGCGGCGCAGCAGGAGCGGCAGUCAGCGUCACAAGCCGAGGAGGGCGGAGAAGAGCACGACGAGGCAGAAUACUACGCUGGCAACGGCGGUCGUAACGACGGUUCAGCACUGGCAAUGCACAUCUUCCAAGAGAUGGUCCGCAGCGGCCGCACGGAUGUUGGCCGUCGUGACGCCAUAGAAGUCAUGGCGCACGGUGGCGGCGCGGAUGCGGAGACGCAGCAGGAGUGGGAUGCGGCGGUGGAGAAGGCGAGGCAGAUGUACCGCUUCUACCUACAGUCGGUCGGCGGCGCCGGCGACGGUGAUUAUUGAGAGCGCCGAAAUGGGGCGAUCGUGACAACGGCGGGAAGGGAUGGGGGACAGACAAGAAAACAGAAGAUGGGGAGGGGCGCGAGUCCCGCACAGCGUCCACAGACACACGGAUGUAUUCACCGUAUGUUGAAGCGCGUCUGUGAGCGCGUGUGCGGCUUACGCGCGCGAGAAGGGGGGAGGACGGACGAGGGGAACCCUCCAAAAACGAAAGACGCGGAGGAAAGCGGGAGGCGUGGAAGAAAGCACGGCCAGCAUGAGAAAGUCGUGCUUUUACUGUUGGAGGGAGGGAAGGAACCUGGGUUGUGGCUGGCACGCAUGCGUAUCGUGUGUGUGUGUGCUGCUUCUGCUUUUCGGCCUGCCCGCGUCUGUGCCCUUCCUCCUCCCCCUCCCCCCUCCCCUCGUUCCACCCACCCUCUCGCCAUGCCUCCUUCUCCACCGGCAGCGCCGCUUCGUUCCGUGUUCGGUGGCGCUGGCACCUGUGGAACAUCCCAACAGGGGCCUCUCGACAGGUUGGCCUCGCUUGUGAGCAGGGCUGUCUGCAUGCUUACUUUGUGCCCAUCAGUGGGCCGUCCGCCCGCUUCUCCUCCGCGUAUUAUUUGCACGCACGCACUCAAGGAGGGCAAGAGGCGGCGCGGUCAACGCCGACGGGCAGCACCGACACCUACGGAAGGGAAGCUGCACGUCGAGAAUUCUAAAGAACUCUAUAUAUGUAUUGCAUGAACUGCAGACGGUGGUCGGCGUCGAGAGAGAAGCCGAGGAAGAGCUGUGCGUGCGUGUGUGGGUGUGUACUUCCUCCUUCGUGCCCUCCACUCGAAUGCAUACCCGGGGUAGCCCUCUCUGUGCAUGCGUGGUGUGUUGGAGCCAGUGCCACCCCCAUCCUAUCCCGGUCGACAUCUCCAUCACGUGUGACAGGAUAGCCCGCAGGAUGGAGAGUGGGUGCCGCACUCUCGCGCGCACCAAGC